rnacentral:rRNA from 1 species
CCUACGGGAGGCAGCAGUGAGGAAUAUUGGUCAAUGGGCGGAAGCCUGAACCAGCCAAGUCGCGUGAGGGAUUAAGGCCCUAUGGGUCGUAAACCUCUUUUGUCAGGGAGCAAGGUCGUCCACGUGUGGGCGUAUGGAGAGUACCUGAAGAAAAAGCAUCGGCUAACUCCGUGCCAGCAGCCGCGGUAAUACGGAGGAUGCGAGCGUUACCCGGAUUUAUUGGGUUUAAGGGGUGCGUAGGCGGUACCUUAAGUCGGCGGGAAAAUUGCGGUGCUAACCGCCGUAGAGCCGUUGAAACUGGGGCUCUUGAGUGAGCGAGAGGUAUGCGGAAUGCGUGGUGUAGCGGUGAAAUGCAUAGAUAUCACGCAGAACCCCGAUUGCGAAGGCAGCAUACCGGCGCUCAACUGACGCUGAGGCACGAAAGUGCGGGUAUCGAACAGGAUUAGAUACCCGUGUAGUC